rnacentral:rRNA from 1 species
UACAGGGGGUGCAAACGUUGCUCGGAAUCAUUGGGCGUAAAGCGCACGUAGGCGGUUCGUUAUGUCGGAUGUGAAAGCCCUUGGCUUAACCGAGGAAGUGCAUCCGAAACUGGCGAGCUAGAGUACGAAAGAGGAUCGCGGAAUUCCCGGUGUAGAGGUGAAAUGCGUAGAGAUCGGGAGGAACACCAGUGGCGAAGGCGGCCGGCUGGGGGUGACCUGACGCUGAGGCGCGAAAGCG